UACAGGGGGUGCAAACGUUGCUCGGAAUCAUUGGGCGUAAAGCGCACGUAGGCGGUUCGUUAUGUCGGAUGGGAAAGCCCUUGGCUUAACCGAGGAAGUGCAUCCGAAACUGGCGAGCUAGAGUACGAAAGAGGAUCGCGGAAUUCCCGGUGUAGAGGUGAAAUUCGUAGAUAUCGGGAGGAACACCGGUGGCGAAGGCGGAUCUCUGGGCCGAUACUGACGCUGAGGAGCGAAAGCGUGGGGAGCGAACAGG
rnacentral:rRNA from 1 species